AUGCAUGAGUUAACUAAGGAAAACAUUGAGCGUAUGAAUGCUAAAUAUAAACUUGCUGGAGAUAAGGGUAGAAAACAUGUUGUGUUUGCACCUGGAGAUCUUGUUUGGUUACAUUUGCGUAAGGAUAGAUUUCCUGAUUUGCGCAAAUCCAAGUUAAUGCCACGUGCUGAUGGUCCCUUUAAGGUGUUAGAGAAAAUAAAUGAUAAUGCAUAUAAACUUGAGCUGCCUGCAGAUUUUGGGGUUAGUCCCACUUUUAACAUUGCAGAUUUGAAGCCUUAUUUGGGUGAGGAAGAUGAACUUCCGUCGAGGACGACUUCAUUUCAAGAAGGGGAGGAUGAUGAGGACAUCAAUACAAUUGUUACACCCACAGCCCCUGCUGCUAUACAUACUGGACCAAUUACUAGAGCUCGUGCACGCCAACUAAAUUACCAGGAAACAGACCCUCGUGGUCAGGUUGAUCGUGCUCCGGCGUGGUCAAUAACCUCUCGGAGUUGGUUUAGCGAUUGCUAA
rnacentral:rRNA from 1 species